AAUCAACGCUGGCGGCGUGCCUCAGACAUGCAAGUCGAACGCGAAAGUUUCCUUCGGGAGAUGAGUAGAGUGGCGCACGGGUGAGUAACACGUGAGUAAUUUACCUUCGGGUGGGAGUACUAACCGGAAACGGUUGUUAAUACCGCAUAAUGCAGCGGCAUCAAUGAUGACAGUUGUUAAAGCGGGGGAUUGGAGGCAAUCCGACCUCGCGCCUGAAGAGAAGCUCGCGGCAGAUUAGCUAGUUGGUAAGGUAAUGGCUU
rnacentral:rRNA from 1 species